ensembl:ncRNA Y7A9A.79 ncRNA
AUUUUGUACUUUUGUCGGGCGACUGGUGGUUGCCCUCUGAUUUUACUGAUUUUACUGCCUUUUAUUUGAAACAGUGUUUUAUUAUACCGAUGUUUAUGACAACGCCAACCAAAUACAAUAGCUGAUGCAACCCAAAUGUUUGAAACAAUGAUUCAAAACAAGAGAGAGCAGAUUAACAUCGAUUGCGGAAUAUCAAUAACAAUACUGAUGCCGAACUUGAGACAUAUACCACAGCACCAAUCUCAAAAAUAAUGGAAGAACACCGCCUGAUUCAAAGACUCCUCAACUCAAUCAAGGUGUAUCAAAAAGCUUUGGAGAUUUUCAAAAUUGUUGCCGAAUGUUGAAAUCAUCCUAGAUUUGAAGCACAGCGUGUAUGAAAGCAUUGCUGGAGCUAUCGAAAAAAUUACUGGUUUGAUUGAGCUGACCAAAGCUCGAUAGGAGAACCACCGAAACGAGUUCAAGCUCACCAAUGAUGAAGCUGACGAGGAAGAAGCUUGAGGAGUCUACCGGAGAUGCUACUUUGUGCGAGCCUAGUAUCACAAGCACAACUGCUGAUUUCGGAGAAAACGCUUUUUAUAUAAGUUGUUGCCCAAAAGCAAGCUCUUCACUUGUUUUCAACCUCUGUAUUGUUUUAUAUCCUUAAAAAUCAUAAAACUUCUUUAAUUAACAUAA